GGUUAGAAUGGAGAGAAGAAGAAGAAAGGCUAAAGUGCUAAGCAUACAAGAGGUGAGGGAUAAAGAAGCAAAACCACAAAUGGAGUUCCUCUCUUAAGAUCAUAUUGAUGAUCCAUGUAGCUCCCAUCCUUUGGAAUAAGAAAUCACAUAAGCAUAAACUCAAGCAAUCAACAAUCAAAUGAAGCUCUUGGAAAGUUCCUUUAUGUAUCUUGGAUCUCUCUCCCUUAGAAGUUCA
rnacentral:lncRNA from 1 species